GUUCACGUUAAGGUCCACUUUUCAAUGUUUUUAUAAGGGUGAAAGCAGUGGUUUUAGAUAUAACGGUUGAUUGUUAAAUCAAUGUUUGGUCUGAUAAUGGAAUAUGAGAAACGGUUAGUUCAGUUCCCCUGUCUUUAUUGUCACCACCCACACCAACAUUGGCAUCUACCUCCGAGCAAGAAGAAGAUGUUUCUUCUAUAAGUGCUUCAGGAAGCAAAUCCCAAUCUCAAACUCCCAAUUCCAAAAGAAGAAAAGUUGAAGAUAAACCGUCAAUUUAACAGGCCAUUAAGGACAAGACCUCCAAGGCAAUUAGAUGGGGUCAAUGGUUUUUUGGAGAGGUUGGGCUACAGUCUCCGCCGUUUCCCAGAAAGAGAACGAAGUAGGAUAGAGAUUGAGAUAUUACAAUUAGUUUAUUCAAGAGAAGUUGAAUUAAAUCUCAUUUAAAUUUAUAAAUAAAGUUAUGCUUGAAAAAAUA